AGCGAACGCUGGCGGCAGGCCUAACACAUGCAAGUCGAACGAACCCUUCGGGGUUAGUGGCGGACGGGUGAGUAACACGUGGGAACGUGCCUUUAGGUUCGGAAUAACUCAGGGAAACUUGUGCUAAUACCGAAUGUGCCCUUCGGGGGAAAGAUUUAUCGCCUUUAGAGCGGCCCGCGUCUGAUUAGCUAGUUGGUGAGGUAAUGGCUCACCAAGGCUACGAUCAGUAGCUGGGCUGAGAGGAUGACCAGCCACAUUGGGACUAAGACACGGCCCAAACUCCUACGGGAGGCAGCAGUGGGGAAUUUUGCGCAAUGGGCGAAAGCCUGACGCAGCCAUGCCGCGUGGAUGAUGAAGGUCUUAGGAUUGUAAAAUCCUUUCACCGGUGAAGAUAAUGACUGUAGCCGGAGAAGAAGCCCCGGCUAACUUCGUGCCAGCCGCCGCGGUAAUAC
rnacentral:rRNA from 1 species